GAUGAACGCUGGCGGCGUGCCUAAUACAUGCAAGUCGAGCGAACAGACGAGGAGCUUGCUCCUCUGACGUUAGCGGCGGACGGGUGAGUAACACGUGGAUAACCUACCUAUAAGACUGGGAUAACUUCGGGAAACCGGAGCUAAUACCGGAUAAUAUAUUGAACCGCAUGGUUCAAUAGUGAAAGACGGUUUUGCUGUCACUUAUAGAUGGAUCCGCGCCGCAUUAGCUAGUUGGUAAGGUAACGGCUUACCAAGGCAACGAUGCGUAGCCGACCUGAGAGGGUGAACGGCCACACUGGAACUGAGACACGGUCCAGACUCCUAAGGGAGGCAGCAGUAGGGAAUCUUCCGCAAUGGGCGAAAGCCUGACGGAGCAAAGCCGCGUGAGUGAUGAAGGUCUUCGGAUCGUAAAACUCUGUUAUUAGGGAAGAACAAAUGUGUAAGUAACUAUGCACGUCUUGACGGUACCUAAUCAGAAAGCCACGGCUAACUACGUG
rnacentral:rRNA from 1 species